GGGGUUGUGGCUCAGUGGUAGAGCGCUUGCCUAGAUACAUGAGGCACUGGGUUCAAUUCUCAGCACCA
rnacentral:tRNA from 1 species